rnacentral:tRNA from 1 species
GUGGGCGUAGCUCAAGUUGGUAGAGCACCGGGAACAUUCGUGAUCCCGGGAGCGUAGGUUCGACUCCUAUCGCUCACCCCA